rnacentral:lncRNA from 1 species
GGUACGAUCUCGGAUCGGGGCGAUUUCUAUACGAAAAUUGAUCUACAGAAAAAGUUACACAUGAAAUUCAACGGCUUUGCCGUUUUCGGCGAAAUUAGAUUUGCCAAAUUCGGCUUGGAAGAUGGAGUUUCGGGCCUCCGAAGUUUGGAACGUUAGGACGCCUAACUCUAUUUUGCAGGAUGUAUGUAUGUAUCUUGUGAUCAGUAUGGCCCCCUUGUGUAUGUGAUGCAUGUGUGUAACUCAUUCGUGACCUGCGUGUCGCGCGUACGGCAACACGGCAGGAGCCAUAUGUGUUGUCACUUUAUUGUAUUUAAUGGUCUGCGUACCAAUCUGUGAUGAUCCAAGCAACUAUGUAAUCUUCAUUACUAGAUGCUUU